CAGCCGCCGCGGUAAUACGUAGGGUGCGAGCGUUAAUCGGAAUUACUGGGCGUAAAGCGUGAGCAGGCGGUUUUGUAAGACAGGCGUGAAAUCCCCGGGCUCAACCUGGGAAUGGCGCUUGUGACUGCAAAGCUAGAGUGCGGCAGAGGGGGAUGGAAUUCCGCGUGUAGCAGUGAAGUGCGUAGAUAUGCGGAGGAACACCGAUGGCGAAGGCAAUCCCCUGGGCCUGCACUGACGCUCAUGCACGAAAGCGUGGGGAGCAAACAGGAUUAGAUACCCCUGUAGUCCCUGUCUCUUAUAC
rnacentral:rRNA from 1 species